rnacentral:lncRNA from 1 species
UGCUCAGCAUAGAGGGGGAUUGCACUGGAGACCCCUUCCUAAAGUGCCCCCCGGCCCCGGGGCUGCCUUUGCUGCUGCAGGAGACGAGGGGGGUUCCAUGGCGGGGGCCCCCCCUGGGACUGUGACCCCCCCUGGGACUGUGACCCCCCCAGGGGGAGACACGGCCGACGCCUUCGCAGGAGCCACCGGGAGCUGACCCCGAUCCCGUGUGGGUGGGGUCCCAGACCCCCCAGAGGGCACAAACCACCCUCCAGGGCCUCUCCUCCCCGCCCCAAGACGAGCCAGCCGGUGGCCAGGAAAGAGCUGCAGCCCCCUGAUCCUCCCCAGCCACCCGCGUCCCCCCAGGGGCCUGUGGAGAGGCCGGAACAGAGCCAGGACCUGCCAGAGGGGAGUGGGGAGGUCCCCAAGACCCCUGAGCCAGCCAGGACCCCUCCGAG